GAUGAACGCUGGCGGCGUGCCUAAUACAUGCAAGUCGAACGCACAGCGAAAGGUGCUUGCACCUUUCAAGUGAGUGGCGAACGGGUGAGUAACACGUGGAUAACCUACCUCAAGGUUGGGGAUAACAUUUGGAAACAGAUGCUAAUACCGAAUAAAACUUAGUAUCGCAUGAUACCAGGUUAAAAGGCGCUACGGCGUCACCUAGAGAUGGAUCCGCGGUGCAUUAGUUAGUUGGUGGGAUAAAGGCUUACCAAGACAAUGAUGCAUAGCCGAGUUGAGAGACUGAUCGGCCACAUUGGGACUGAGACACGGCCCAAACUCCUACGGGAGGCUGCAGUAGGGAAUCUUCCACAAUGGGCGAAAGCCUGAUGAGCAACGCCGCGUGUGUGAUGAAGGCUUUCGGGUCGUAAAGCACUGU
rnacentral:rRNA from 1 species